UACGGGGGGGGGCAAGCGUUGUUCGGAAUUACUGGGCGUAAAGGGCUCGUAGGCGGCCAACUAAGUCAUACGUGAAAUCCCUCGGCUUAACCGGGGAACUGCGUCUGAUACUGGAUGGCUUGAGUUCGGGAGAGGGAUGCGGAAUUCCAGGUGUAGCGGUGAAAUGCGUAGAUAUCUGGAGGAACACCGGUGGCGAAGGCGGCCAUCCUGG
rnacentral:rRNA from 1 species